rnacentral:rRNA from 1 species
UGGGGAAUUUUGGACAAUGGGCGAAAGCCUGAUCCAGCAAUGCCGCGUGUGUGAAGAAGGCCUUCGGGUUGUAAAGCACUUUUGUCCGGAAAGAAAUCCUUGGCUCUAAUACAGUCGGGGGAUGACGGUACCGGAAGAAUAAGCACCGGCUAACUACGUGCCAGCAGCCGCGGUAAUACGUAGGGUGCAAGCGUUAAUCGGAAUUACUGGGCGUAAAGCGUGCGCAGGCGGUUUGCUAAGACCGAUGUGAAAUCCCCGGGCUCAACCUGGGAACUCAUUGGGUGACUGGCAGGCUAGAGUAUGGCAGAGGGGGGUAGAAUUCCACGUGUAGCAGUGAAAUGCGUAGAGAUGUGGAGGAAUACCGAUGGCGAAGGCAGCCCCCUGGGCCAAUACUGACGCUCAUGCACGAAAGCGUGGGGAGCAAACAGGAUUAGAUACCCUGGUAGUCCACGCCCUAAACGAUGUCAACUAGUUNUUGGGGAUUCAUUUCCUUAGUAACGUAGCUAACGCGUGAAGUUGACCGCCUGGGGAGUACGGUCGCAAGAUUAAAACUCAAAUGAAUUGACGGGGUCAUAGCU